CUGACCCCUAGCUAGGGCUGGGAAUUCCCAAACUUCCUGUUCCAGACAGAAGAGAACUUCCUUUCACCAUCACAAGGUGAUCCAUCCCAUGGUUUUGUCCAAACUCACAGGACAGUUCAGCAACAAAGAUCUGUAUCUGAACUUCCAGAGUUUUGAAUGAGGGAAGAUAAUCAAAAGGAUCCACAUUUUUAACAUUAAGAGGGAACUUGAAGCAUUUUGAAAGGAAAGGAUUUCCAUGCAAUCAUCUCCUAUCAGCCCACUGAAGCCAUCUCUGAAUUUUUCUCCAUUUAGCAUGACCUAUUUCAUCAUAUCAGUGAAGAUCUGAAAGCACCCAGAGAAGCGUGUCAAGCUUUCUGUGCAUAAACUAAUCAAGUAAUGGUGAG
ensembl:lncRNA